GAUUAUAGAAUAAACUGCUGUUAAUGUUGAAAUACUGUAUAUCACUGUUACACAGGAAGGGAUUGAACUGUGUUUUUUUUGGACUAACUUUAAUUUGAUUGGCAGAUUUUUCGAUCUAUCACCUGUUUUAGUGGUGUAUAGAAACGUUUAAAUUCCCAAUAUUUGCAUUAUUUUCGUGAUAAAACAAGCAUUUUUUUAGCCUAACAAAAAAAAGUAACCUUUUUGCCAUUCUCCAUGCCCUACGAUUCGUAAAGAGUUAAAAUAUAUGCGUAAAUAAUAUAAUAAUUUAACGUGUCUCUACUUUGCAGUUUUUCCCCUAUCGCGGGGGGGUAUGGGAACGUAACCCCUGCGAUACACGAGGGACCCCUGUAUAGCUUUUCAUUACAUGUAAUUCAACCAAAAAUUUCUUUCAAUUUAACACCUUGUUCCCUUUAAAAUAAGGACACGAAUAUCUACACCCAGACCAAACAAGGUAAUCCAAUCUCGUGUGUAAAAUCAGCACUAGCACGCACAUGAUUAGUUAAUUCUAACAGAGCUGCAGGAGAAGAACCCCCGCCGAACAUUCAACAGUAAGGUAUAAACAACGCUGUGUGAGAAACCAUGCUGAGUAAAUCUGGCACAGACACAGAGGUAGUGAAAACAUAAAACCUGAGCCUGUCUCUGAAGACCCCAUGUAUCUUUUCAUCUCUCCUUCCACAGGCUCACGUACCGAACAGGACAAGACACAGCAAACUGUGACACCUGUCGAAACAGCGCAUGCAUCAUUUACAGUGUGGAGUUAGAUUUCAAGCUGCAGGAGGACAAGCUCCAGCCCCUGAUGAAGAGACUCUGUCCUCUGGACAGCCAACCAUGUCCUGCCCUUCAUUACUCCAAUGAAGUAUUCACAUCCACCCCAAAACGCAAGUCCAAGACAGAAUCCAAAAAGCAUGCCCGCUGGAAACUCUGGUUCCUCUGAGUUUGAAGUCAAGGCUUCGGAAACAGCCUGGGAAUGGAGCACAUUUACACCCCUGUGUCAGAGGAACCAAACCACCACAGUGAGAAGGCGGGGAUCCGCACUUUUGGAUUGUAAGACAAAGAAACAUUUUACAUUCGGUCAAACACUUUUUCUGGAAUUUGUGCUCAAGAGCAUCGACAGGCACCUGCAGAACCUAGAGAUUUUUGCUUGUCAACAAGAGGAGGCGCCACGUGGAGGUUCUUUCAUGAGUGAAGCAACCGUCUCUGAAGGGUCAUCAGGCAAACAUCAGACAAAGCACAAACGUUUGACUUUUGAAAGGAACACGUGCAAAAAGACCGAAUCACAGUGCAGAACAUGACACCGUGUCACUACUGUUCCUACAACCCGUGGUUCUCGAACUGCUCUGUCAUCCUUAUCUGUUCCCGUCCUCCUAACAUCAGUUUGUGUGACUGACUGAACCUGUCCCUGCCUUAACCCCCGUCUCGGCCCUAUCCUUAGGUUUCUUUCAUCAUCUCGGGAUUUAGCACCCUGCCCUUAAUCUUUUUUCUUUUUCUUUUAUAUUAAACGUGGAGAUAAAUUUGUAAUCAUUGAUACGUGGGCCCCUCCUCUUGAAGCAGGUAGAGUCGAAAACACAGAAAAAUGUCUUCUGGGUGGUACAUUUUAACAAAAUAUCCAGUCAAAUAUUUUAACAACCUUUAACGCAGAGUAUUUUUAUGGCACUGUAAAUAUUUUUUACAUAUAUACUGUAUGUAUACUCCAAAGUAGUCGAGCUGUUUUAAGGUUGCUCUUUAAGAUCCAUCCAGAGUCCAGAGUCUUGCCUUGUCUCUCGAUCAUUUAUGCGUGACUGCAACGCUCUAUUUUAGGGCCUUUGUUUCACAUUCAUUUUUAUGACUUUUGCCCCAUGCACUUACACUUGUUUUUCAAACACAGACAUAAAAAAAAAAAA